rnacentral:rRNA from 1 species
UACGGGGGGGGCAAGCGUUGUUCGGAAUUACUGGGCGUAAAGGGCUCGUAGGUGGCCAACUAAGUCAGACGUGAAAUCCCUCGGCUUAACCGGGGAACUGCGUCUGAUACUGGAUGGCUGGAGUAUGGGAGAGGGAUGCGGAAUUCCAGGUGUAGCAGUGAAAUGCGUAGAUAUCUGGAGGAACACCGGUGGCGAAGGCGGCAUCCUGGACCAUUACUGACGCUGAGGAGCGAAAGCCAGGGGAGCAAACGGG